UACGUAGGGUGCAAGCGUUAAUCGGAAUUACUGGGCGUAAAGGGCGCGUAGGCGGCCUUCUAAGUCGGACGUGAAAUCCCCAGGCUUAACUUGGGAACUGCGUCUGAUACUGGAAGGCUUGAGUGCGGGAGAGGGAUGUGGAAUUCCAGGUGUAGCGGUGAAAUGCGUAGAUAUCUGGAGGAACACCGGUGGUGUAGACGGCUUACUGGACCAUGACUGACGCUGAGGCACGAAAGCGUGGGUAGCAAACAGG
rnacentral:rRNA from 1 species